rfam:Homo sapiens chromosome 15 genomic contig, GRCh38 reference assembly alternate locus group ALT_REF_LOCI_2.
GCUGGGCGUGGUGGUGGGUGCCUGUAAUCCCAGCUACCUGGGAGGCUGAGGCAGGAGAAUUGCUUGAACCUGGGAGGUCGAGAUUGCAGUGAGCUGAGAUGGCGCCACUGCACUCCAGCCUGGGCGACAGAGUAAGACUCUGUCUCAA